ensembl:snRNA U7 U7 small nuclear RNA
AAAUGUGCUUUUUUAAUAUUUGUCUAGUGGGUUUCCUCGAGAAGAAAGCCCCC